rnacentral:rRNA from 1 species
UAGGGAAUCUUCGGCAAUGGACGGAAGUCUGACCGAGCAACGCCGCGUGAGUGAAGAAGGUUUUCGGAUCGUAAAGCUCUGUUGUAAGAGAAGAACGAGUGUGAGAGUGGAAAGUUCACACUGUGACGGUAUCUUACCAGAAAGGGACGGCUAACUACGUGCCAGCAGCCGCGGUAAUACGUAGGUCCCGAGCGUUAUCCGGAUUUAUUGGGCGUAAAGCGAGCGCAGGCGGUUAGAUAAGUCUGAAGUUAAAGGCUGUGGCUUAACCAUAGUACGCUUUGGAAACUGUUUAACUUGAGUGCAGAAGGGGAGAGUGGAAUUCCAUGUGUAGCGGUGAAAUGCGUAGAUAUAUGGAGGAACACCGGUGGCGAAAGCGGCUCUCUGGUCUGUAACUGACGCUGAGGCUCGAAAGCGUGGGGAGCAAACAGGAUUAGAUACCCUGGUAGUCCACGCCGUAACGAUGAGUGCUAGGUGUUGGGUCCUUUCCGGGACUCAGUGCCGCAGCUAACGCAUUAAGCACUCCGCCUGGGGAGUACGACCGCAAGGUUG